GACCAGACUCCUACGGGAGGCAGCAGUAGGGAAUUUUGCGCAAUGGGGGAAACCCUGACGCAGCAACGCCGCGUGAUUGAUGAAGCCCUUCGGGGUGUAAAGAUCUGUCAGUGGGGACGAAACUUGACGGUACCCACAGAAAAAGCAUCGGCUAACUCCGUGCCAGCAGCCGCGGUAAUACGGAGGAUGCGAGCGUUAUCCGGAUUUAUUGGGUUUAAAGGGUGCGCAGGCGGAAGAUCAAGUCAGCGGUAAAAUUGAGGGGCUCACCCUCUUCGAGCCGUUGAAACUGGUUUUCUUGAGUGAGCGAGAAGUAUGCGGAAUGCGUGGUGUAGCGGUGAAAUGCAUAGAUAUCACGCAGAACUCCGAUUGCGAAGGCAGCAUACCGGCGCUCAACUGACGCUCAUGCACGAAAGUGUGGGUAUCGAACAGGAUUAGAUACCCCAGUAUC
rnacentral:rRNA from 1 species